UGUUCUGUGGCUUAGAUAGUUAAAGCACCGGUCUGGCGAAAUCAUGGGUUCAAAUCCCGUAAGAACGC
rnacentral:tRNA from 1 species